AUAUGAUGUAAAGCACUUUGAAAUGCCUUGCUGCUGAAAUAAAAUCUACAAAUAAAAUUUGAUUGAUUGAUUGAUUGAUUGUAAGAUUCAUGGCUCCUAUAUUACCAUCGCAUUGACGGAGAAAAUAUAAUGUAUUACUUUGUAUUUGAGGCGGAACACUGACCAUCGCAUUGAAUCCCUAUGUGCUGUCGUUAAAAUAUGUAAACCAACUGUGGCCAUUUAAUAAAUUGGUAAGCUAUUAAGAAAUGGAUCACACUGGUCACAGAUUAUUCUGGCCAGAAUAAUCCGUGACCUUACUGUACAGGUCAGUAAAUAAUGUCAGAGUUUAAAACAACUAUUUUUCAGAGUCCUACCACUUCAUCACUACAAUCUGGGUGUAUUUAUAAUAAUAUUUAAUCCUCAAAUAGCUAAAAUCACACUGGUCACAGAUUAUUCUGGCCAGAAUAAUCGCGCUAUCGCCCCCUGCGGUCACAAAAAAUGAUGGGUCACAGAUUUUGCUGCAACAACGGCCGGAACACAGUGCGCUAAAUGAUAAAACAUAAUUUAAUGAAGUUUUGAGGCAGAUACAUUUUCCUCAAGGAAUUUAAAUAAUUGCGGUACGUGAAUCAUUCGAGGAAUCGCUUCAGCCCUAGAUUAGAUUAUUCGCACACCUCCUAUAAACUUGUUGCAUCUCUGUCACAGUGCUGUUUACAUUAUAUCCUAUAUGAACGAAUCAUAUAGGAUACAUUUAUUGGCCAGUCAAUGUAUCUGCACCAAUUUUCUGAAUUUUGAGAGAUUGGUGGUCGGCUGAUACUUACACAUGAAGCCAAUCUUAUCCCAAAUCUUAUUUACCUCAGCAAAGAUUUAAAAAUCCCCAAUUGACGAUCACCAAGAAAACUGCAAUCGAUGUACCCGUACUUAACAUGGAAUACAUACACACAUAUUUAUGACAUACUUUGAUUGAAUUCAUUUCUCUUAGGUGUGAUUCCAGUAGCUAAAAAUUACAUUUACACCAGGUGAGUCUUUCUCGUCUAAGAAUGGGGACCGGUACUGGCCUGAUUGUGUGCCGUCAAAUAAUUUUGGCAGUGCUCCUGGAGAAGCUUCUCAUAAUUUAUAAGUACAUGUAAAAUUAAUAUUUGCUUUAGAUACAUCAUGAUCAGCAGCAAACAAUACAUUUCCAAUGUAAUAGAAAAUUUCAUUUUUAUCCUUAUUUUAUCUUUGAUGGAACUGAUGAUACUUAUUACCAUUUAUUUACUGAUUAUAUCUGCUGUGUUUUGCAAUUUCUGCAACAUGUGUUUUUCCAUUAAAGAAGUUUCCAGAUAAUGUUUAGAUGCUUCAACAGCUGUGAUAGUAUAAGAGACCUGAAGACAUCUUGGGUUAAAUGCUUGAUCUGGCAAUUGUCUUAAAGGACUGACAUGUGCAGAAUGUAGUUUGUAUCCUGCAUCCAUGAGUAACUGACAAAGAAAAAUGAGAAGUUUGUCCUGAAAUUAUUAUCGGCUCUCUUUCCUGCCAUAAAAUCGUCCCAUCCAAGAGGUGAGGGAUGGUUCAUGAGGUGGGGGUUAGGAUUGUCUCUGUGGUCCAUCUGGCAAUAGAGAUAAGAUCAGACUUUGGGUGGGUCUUUGCCUUGCUGUGACUAUAUAACGAUGUGAUGUGUGUUGUUCAGGGCUCUUCUCCUGACUGCACUCAGUGAGACGGGUCUUCGAACACUUUUGCCUUCGAAUAAAGAAACUUAAAGACAAAGAUCAAUCUUUCUCUACUUUUUGAAACAGAUUCUCAUUCCUUAAUAAUACAAUUCUAUAACACCAACUACAGCUUAGAGUAGCUCAUUGAUAUAUUGCCAUAUAGCCUGAUGUAAAAACAUUUUUCUAGAUAAUGUCAAACAUUGAGAAGUUUUAAUUAUUGUCAUCAAUGUUAUCAAACACACCGUUUUGAAACCAUGAGGGCCAACCACGAGAAUGAACUCAGCUUCACACAAAAACAAAGACACUAGCAUCAAUAUUUGGCUUUUGAACCAGACUGUACACGGUCGCUAUGACGCUAAUUUUCCAUAAGCAGCUUCACAAAUCUUUUUGGUAAACAUUACAUUAUCAAGAGACCUGUAAACAUACCUUGAUCUUGGCUUUUUUUCUCUUCUUCCUCUUUAUUUUCUUUGUCCCUGAAUAAUAAGUCUUAUUUUGUGACAGUGUUUAGCUAACUUAUCUUGGAGAUUUGGAUGUGCACUGCACAUUGAAGAGAGCUCAUAUUACCGGUGAAGCAGGACCUACUGCGGCCACCAGGGUGCCCCAAGAACAAUUUAUUUUUGAUUUUUUCCCCGAAUAAACAAUGAUUUCUACGUGAUCAAAUUAUUUAUUGUAAAAAAAAUCCUAACUUUACAAUGAAAUUCUAUGUUUGUUACUAUAAUCACAUAGAAAUUAUUACU